UGCUUCGGCAGAAUUCUGCCAAGAGAGCAGAGUUCGGCUCUGCUCUUAUGAGCAGAGCUGAACAGUCCUUUGAGGGCAGCCAUCGCAGCCCUCGGUCGCCGAGGAAAACGAGAAUGUGACGCUAACUCGGCCCCCGUUCGAAUAGUUUAAAGCUUGAGUUAAAAACAUAAGUUUAAUGAUCGUUUGGUGAGUUGUUAGGGAUGGUUUAUCUACUACAAAAAUAAUUGGUUUCGAAAGUUAAAGUGAGUAAAAUUUAAUUAAAAUGGAUUGGCGGAAUUUUAACGUAUUGAUUAUUGAAGUUAAAAGUGAUAUUAAACUUCGUUAGAACGGAUUAAAAGUUGAUUGAAUACGUUUUGAAUUAGUCAAAACUGUUUUGAAUUAAAAGUUAAAAUGUGAAUUAGGAGUCAACUUUGAGACCGGAUUGCGGGCUAACGAAAUGUCGGAACGAGUCGGUUUUAGUGUCGUUUUGUUCGUUACGGAACAGAGAAUGAAAGUAUGAGAGAGCUGUUGCCGCAACAGUGGCCAGACAACAGAAAAUGUGGCUGUAAACAGCAGCCCAUGGGGCUGUUCUGCUGUCGAUAAAACAGCCCGGGGAAGCAACUUCGGGGCUAGUUUCCGAUAUCUUCGGGUUUGAUUUUGAAUUGAAGGUCUAAACGAAAAUUGUAGAGGACGUUGUGAACUAUAGGAAUGUCAAAUUUAUUUUGAAUUAUGACUAGUUUACGUGCUCUGUUUCUAAGCCCGAAACAGCAGCUGUAGUGAGCUAAUUUGCAGUCCAAAACUGCCAAUUUUAAGGAGUCGACUUCAGGACCAAUUUCCGACACCUUAGGACGAUAAUUUCAGUUUAAAAUCUAAACGAAAGUUGUAGAUGGGGUUAGGUACUAUAAGGAUGUCAAAUUUGUUUGGAAGUCGGGCCAUUUUAAAUAAACUUUUUAAUAGUCCAAAGUCGGCUAAUUAGCUAGUUUUGGGAAAACUAGUUUUAAUUAACGAAAUGUAAAGUCGUUAAUUAAUUCAGUUAUAAAUUGACGUUUCGAGCUAAGAAAAACUAUAAAUUAUGGGAUUAUAAUAUUAAAACGUAAUCAAUUUAUUCCCAGGCAAAAUAAAUUGAUUUAGUCACAAAGUAUUAUAUAGUUAGAACACCUUUGGAUUAGGAUCCAUUUUAACUACGAUUCAUUAUCGUAUUUUCGUAGACUCGGCGAGGCGACUACCAACGGAACACGGUACUUAAAGAACGCGAUAUGACCGUAGCUUUUGGAUAGAAAACAUGUUAUGUUUCAGGUGUAUAGUAUCGGAAGUGACAGACUUCUAUCUUUGUUCCAGAAGUCUGUGAGUACAGAAAGAAGGAGUCGAUCAGUAGUGCUGCAGUAGUCAAGUCCUUAGAUGUUUGUAUAGUGAUUUGUCAAACGGUUUUAUAUGUUUUAUCUAAGCUCUGAUAUGUACGAAAGGUUUUAAACUGCGCUUUUAAACCGUUUAUAUAUAUGCGAGAAACAUGGCAUUGCUUGAUAUGAGCUAUCGCUUUGUAAGACCCUGAUUUCUAAAGAUCGUUUUGUAUCGUUUAAAGAAGUUUUAUAAAAACAUUUUGUUAA